GUUCACGCCAUCACGGCUUGGUGAUCAGGAGGCGCAGAAGUUGCGGCCUCGGCCUACUUGGAGGACAAGAACAAGUGGCGUCGUCGCUUUAGUGAGCGAGGGCCUCGCGGCUAGGGCUCCGGCGAGGCUGUGUAUGAGGUGUUGCUGCGGCAGAUCGAGCCAAAGGAGGAUCUUCAGUGGAGGAGGACGGGGGCAGGCCACCGCAAGGAGGUGUCUGUGGCGGGAUACCGCUGCGACGAGGUAUGUGACGAUAACGCCGGAGGCUGGACCUUCUAGCUAGGUGAGUGUGGCUAGCAAAAGGAGGAUGCAAACCGGCCGUUCACCUCUCCGUCGGCCUACUGCUCGCCUCCUCCUGGUCCAGUGUCUCUGGAAGUCUCCACGGACAUUGUUGUGGCCUGUGCUGAUAAGGAGAUUUGCUAGCUGUAGAUGUGGGGAUACGAUGACUAGACUAGAAGCUCCAUUAAAGCGUUGGAUUAAAGACCUAGCUUUGCACCUUUAGUUUCUACCUUGGUACAUUGGAGUCGUCAAUUUUCGACAACCCAAUAGAUAAAUGUGUAGUCUUGUACAAGGAAAUUGAGAGAGGCGGUUAUUGAGUUGUUGAUCCGAUGGCGAGAUGAAUCAUCGGACGUCGCCGCCAGCAGGACAUACCAAUGGGGAUGCAUGAAUCCCAUGAUGAACACAUCUGAUGCAGUUGGCGCCAUCCACUCAUCCCCCAUGAGCAGCUCCACCAUCUCACCUAUU